rnacentral:rRNA from 1 species
CAAGGAUUCCCCUAGUAACUGCGAGUGAAGCGGGAAAAGCUCAAAUUUAAAAUCUGGCAGUCUUUGGCUGUCCGAGUUGUAAUCUAGAGAAGUAUUAUCCGCGCUGGACCGUGUACAAGUCUCCUGGAAUGGAGCGUCAUAGAGGGUGAGAAUCCCGUCUUUGACACGGAUUGCCAGGGCUUUGUGAUGUGCUCUCGAAGAGUCGAGUUGUUUGGGAAUGCAGCUCAAAAUGGGUGGUAAAUUCCAUCUAAAGCUAAAUAUUGGCGAGAGACCGAUAGCGAACAAGUACCGUGAGGGAAAGAUGAAAAGAACUUUGGAAAGAGAGUUAAACAGUACGUGAAAUUGCUGAAAGGGAAACGCUUGAAGUCAGUCGCGUUGGCCAGGGAUCAACCUUGCUUUUUUGCUUGGCUUACUUUCUGGUCGAUGGGUCAGCAUCAAUUUUGACUGGUGGAAAAAGUUCAAGGGAAUGUGGCAUCUUCGGAUGUGUUAUAGCCUUUGUUCAUAUAUAUCAGUUGGGAUUGAGGAACUCAGCACGCCGCAAGGCCGGGUUUUUAACCACGUACGUGCUUAGGAUGCUGGCAUAAUGGCUUUAAUCGACCCGUCUUGAAACACGGACCAAGGAGUCUAACAUGCCUGCGAGUGUUUGGGUGAAAAACCCGAGCGCGUAAUGAAAGUGAAAGUUGAGAUCCCUGUCGUGGGGAGCAUUGACGCCCGGAUCUGACCUUUUGUGACGAUUCUGCGGUAGAGCAUGUAUGUUGGGACCCGAAAGAUGGUGAACUAUGCCUGAAUAGGGUGAAGCCAGAGGAAACUCUGGUGGAGGCUCGUAGCGAUUCUGACGUGCAAAUCGAUCGUCAAAUUUGGGUAUAGGGGCGAAA